rnacentral:rRNA from 1 species
UAGGGAAUCUUCGGCAAUGGACGAAAGUCUGACCGAGCAACGCCGCGUGAGUGAAGAAGGUUUUCGGAUCGUAAAACUCUGUUGUUAGAGAAGAACAAGGACGUUAGUAACUGAACGUCCCCUGACGGUAUCUAACCAGAAAGCCACGGCUAACUACGUGCCAGCAGCCGCGGUAAUACGUAGGUGGCAAGCGUUGUCCGGAUUUAUUGGGCGUAAACCGAGCGCAGGCGGUUUCUUAAGUCUGAUGUGAAAGCCCCCGGCUCAACCGGGGAGGGUCAUUGGAAACUGGGAGACUGGAGUGCAGAAGAGGAGAGUGGAAUUCCAUGUGUAGCGGUGAAAUGCGUAGAUAUAUGGAGGAACACCAGUGGCGAAGGCGGCUCUCUGGUCUGUAACUGACGAUAAGGCUCGAAAGCGUGGGGAGCAAACAGG